GACGAACGCUGGCGGCGUGCCUAAUACAUGCAAGUCGAACGCAUUUUCUUUCACCGUAGCUUGCUACACCGAAAGAAAAUGAGUGGCGAACGGGUGAGUAACACGUGGGUAACCUGCCCAUCAGCGGGGGAUAACACUUGGAAACAGGUGCUAAUACCGCAUAAUUCCAUUUACCGCAUGGUAGAUGGAUGAAAGGCGCUUUUGCGUCACUGAUGGAUGGACCCGCGGUGCAUUAGCUAGUUGGUGGGGUAACGGCCUACCAAGGCUGCGAUGCAUAGCCGACCGGAGAGGGUGAUCGGCCACACUGGGACUGAGACACGGCCAAGAAUCCUACGGGAGGCAGCAGUAGGGAAUCUUCGGAAAUGGACGCAAGUCUGACCGAGCAACGCCGCGUGAGUGAAGAAGGUUGUCGGAUCGUAAAACUCUGUUGUUAGAGAAGAACAAGGAUGAGAGUGGAAAGUUCAUCCCUUGACGGUAUCUAACCAGAAAGCCACGGCUAACUACGUG
rnacentral:rRNA from 1 species